UACGUAGGGAGCAAGCGUUAUCCGGAAUUAUUGGGCGUAAAGAGCUCGUAGGCGGUUUGUCGCGUCUGCCGUGAAAGUCCGGGGCUCAACUCCGGAUCUGCGGUGGGUACGGGCAGACUAGAGUGAUGUAGGGGAGACUGGAAUUCCUGGUGUAGCGGUGAAAUGCGCAGAUAUCAGGAGGAACACCGAUGGCGAAGGCAGGUCUCUGGGCAUUAACUGACGCUGAGGAGCGAAAGCAUGGGGAGCGAACAGG
rnacentral:rRNA from 1 species